GGAAGAUUGGAUUGCAGCACUCAAGACUGUCCAGAACAAAGAGCAUUUUGAGCCUACCCAGUACAGCAUGGACCAUUUCUCAGGGACGCAUAACUGGUACGCUUGUUCCCACGCACGGCCAACCUACUGCAACGUGUGUCGGGAAGUUUUGUCUGGGGUCACAUCCCAUGGGCUAUCCUGUGAAGUGUGUAAGUUUAAGGCUCACAAGCGGUGUGCUGUGCGUGCAACCAGUAACUGCAAGUGGACCACACUGGCCUCGAUUGGAAAGGAUAUCAUUGAGGACGAGGAUGGG
rnacentral:lncRNA from 1 species